GCCAAAAUCUAGCCUAGCAUGAUACGAUCAAAGGGCGGCGUCAUUAAGCGCCUGCGCGAUUAAAGUACUCAGCCAACAGCUCCGAAGGUCAAGUUUAUUUGAAAUCCGCCGAAGAUGUUGAGAGAGAAAAGGUCGCGGCUGAACCCGAAACAUUAGCGAACGCCUCAGCGUAAGCUUCCAGACUUCCGAACUAUUUCAAUGAAGUUCGCGGGAAAUGCCGAAUUCCUGUUCGGCCGAGGUCACCAUCCUUAAUCUGAGGGUAACGACUUCAAAUUUAAUUUCUCCCAAACCGCCAACUGAAGCAGAAGUGUCGCGCCUUUUUUGUCCGUGAGUCGUUUCUGGUUGAAGUUGUCAAGUUUGCUUAACAAACGUAGUGUGUGCGUUAGGAUCAGUUUUGUGCGUUUCUCGAAGGAAUUGUCCAGCCGACCGCUACGUUUGUCGCAGGCAACCGCGUCACACCACCAUCGUUGGGACGAAAGAUUCCCGGCAUCCGUCGCCGGAGGGGGCCAACCCGUCAACACGUUGGUCCCAAUUCCAAUCGUGGUUGCCAAUUGCCACGCAUCGUCGCUUAUAGGGGUCAGCGAGUGCCGAGCCGCCGAUCAACCCCCCCCCCCCCCUGUGGGGGAAUUGGCCACGUCACCAACGGCCAUUCAUCGCUACGCACGUUGAUCGAUUUCCGCCGUCUACCAGGAGCGCAGCAGUACCGGUAGGCGAACAACAGUCGGUGAGUCAAGCGAUCUCUUUUUUAUCGAGUGGGGCGUCCAGUGAGGACGCCUCGGAGGAUUUUUUGUGCCGACCGUAGGUCGAUGACUGACUAAGUCAGGAAUUUGGACGCGUCCAUAAAAUUUUGAGGUUGGAUGUGGAAUUUAUAAAACGUAAUUCGUGAACGACCCAUCCAACCUCUAUUGUUAGACACCCGGGUGUGAAGUUACUCGUCGUCCAUUGAUUGCUGAAUGAGGAUAGGACGACACAAUGCAUGAGCACGCUAGAAUAGAGUAGAUAGAAAAAACGCACACACAGACAGGACAAAUGUAGUUUGUAGAAAGUCAUUGAGCAAAAUACAACAUUAAACAUGCUAGCAAAAUUAA